GACGAACGCUGGCCGCGUGCCUAAUACAUGCAAGUCGAGCGGACGAAUCUAAAGCUUGCUUUUUAUUCGUUAGCGGCGGACGGGUGAGUCACACGUGGGCAACCUUCCCUGUAGACGGGGAUAACACCGAGAAAUCGGUGCUAAUACCCGAUAACACCACAUGUCGCAUUACGUUUCGUUGAACGUCGGCCCAAGCUGUCGCUACAGUAUGGGCCCGCGCCGCAUUAGCUAGUUGGUGAGGUAACGGCUCACCAAGUCGACGAUGCGUAGCCGACCUGAGAGGGUGAUCGGCCACACUGGGACUGAGACACGGCCCAGACUCCUACGGGAGGCAGCAGUAGGGAAUCUUCCGCAAUGGACGAAAGUCUGACGGAGCAACGCCGCGUGAGAGAAGAAGGCCUUCGGGUCGUAAAGCUCUGUUGUUAGGGAAGAACAAGUAACGCAGUAACUGGCGUUACCGUGACGGUACCUAACGAGAAAGCCAGGGCUAACUACGUG
rnacentral:rRNA from 1 species